AUCCAAGGUGAUUCCCUCUCCAAGGGGACAUCAGUGCCUCUCAGGAAAGUAGCAGCUUGGAAUAGAAUCUGGCAUGCCUAAGGCCUUUGGGGAACUGGGAUGCUUAUUUCCUCUGCCUUCCUUGGCUGCCCACAUGG
rnacentral:snoRNA from 10 species